rnacentral:lncRNA from 1 species
GAAACAACUACGGUGUUUAUUCCGUUAAAGGAAAUCUUGUAUGAGCAACGGAGGAAAAUCGUGACUUUUUAAAGUACCUAUUGCCUUGUUCUGUUUUUUAAAACUGGUUAUUUUAACCUGUUGUAAUGACCCGCGUUACUGUUUUAGGAGGGAAACUGGUUAAAUGUAAAUGGUUGCAUUAUGGGAAAAAUGUGGCAUGUGGGUGUAUAACCACUGGGAGAAAUGAUGGGAUGACGUGUGUUUCUCAGUGUGUGGGAGAGAGCCUAGGGGGCGCUAAGCAGGCUGGGAAAGCUGGCUGUAGGCACAAGCUCUGAAGGAAACGGGGUCCUUGGACCGAGAGCAUUAUUUCCCCAAUGCUGGCGUUCUAACAAACCGUUCGUCAUGAACGUUGCCUCUUCGCCCCAUCCAAACCCACAGCGCUGAACAUCACACUGUUCCUGGACAGCUUUUGUUAUAAGCUGUAUGGCUUUCAUUUUGAAGAAGUGCUUCACUGGAACCUUAUGAUCAAAAAUGGUCCUCCAACCUGCUCACAGCCUCGCUUCCAUUUCACGGGACGAAUCCACUAUCUGCGAAGAAUGGUGCAAGGCUGCCAGGAUGGCUGGCAAGGAGCCACCGAAGAGCAGGAUGUCCUCUCCGGAGUGGAGCGCGGACAGCAGGUAAGAGCUGCACUUUUCCUCUGGAACAGACGUGUGUAAGAGUCGACCUCUCGCUGCCCACUUUGCAUAAUGUUUCCAUUACAUCCCCGCUGGUCUUGCCAAGGUAAUUAAAUGAUCAUGUAAAAUGAGGUCAGAGCGGGUGACAAGGUCACCUGCAGGUAACUACAAGGGAUUAUGAGGGAAUUAAGUGAUCUAUUCUAUAUUCAAACUGAUUGAUCCUGUGUAUAAAAAGUGAUUUUAAAUAUAUAUUUCAUCUGCUACAAUGAAUAAAAUAAAAUGAAUAAAUGAAUAAAAACA